AUUGAACGCUGGCGGCAUGCUUUACACAUGCAAGUCGAGCGGUAACAGGGAGCUUGCUCCGCUGACGAGUGGCGAACGGGUGAGUAAUGCGUCGGAACGUGCCGAGUAGUGGGGGAUAACGCAGCGAAAGUUGUGCUAAUACCGCAUACGUACUGAGGUAGAAAGUGGGGGACCUUUGGGCCUCACGCUAUUCGAGCGGCCGACGUCUGAUUAGCUAGUAGGUGAGGUAAAGGCUCACCUAGGCGACGAUCAGUAGCGGGUCUGAGAGGAUGAACCGCCACACUGGGACUGAGACACGGCCCAGACUCCUACGGGAGGCAGCAGUGGGGAAUUUUGGACAAUGGGCGAAAGCCUGAUCCAGCCAUGCCGCGUGUCUGAAGAAGGCCUUCGGGUUGUAAAGGACUUUUGUCGGGGAGGAAAUCCCCAGCGCUAAUACCGCUGGGGGAUGACAGUACCUGAAGAAUAAGCACCGGCUAACUACGUGCCAGCCGCCGCCGUAACAC
rnacentral:rRNA from 1 species